AGAAUAUCCAGCUUUUACAACAAGUGAAACAAAUAGGGAAUACAUAUCCAAUAAUUUGUGUUCCGGUUGGAAAAGAUCCAAAUGUUAGCUUACUUGGGACAAUUGCCUAUGAAUCUCGUGGAGGAAAACUACUAAAUCCCACAGAAGCAAGAAAAUUUUCUAGAUACACUUUAGGAAUGAUGAUUGCAUCAGAAAUCAUCGGUGAAAUGCCACCCGCAAUUUGUUCUAUUAAUGAC